rnacentral:rRNA from 1 species
UACGUAGGGUGCAAGCGUUGUCCGGAAUUAUUGGGCGUAAAGGGAGUGUAGGCGGCUUGUUAAGUCUUCUGUGAAAGCUACGGGCUCAGCCCGUAAAGUGCAGAGGAAACUGGCGAGCUUGAGUGUCGGAGAGGAUAGGGGAAUACCCAGUGUAGAGGUGAAAUUCGUAGAGAUUGGGUGGAACACCAGUGGCGAAGGCGCCUGUCUGGCUGACAACUGACGCUGAGACUCGAAAGCAUGGGGAGCAAACAGG